UAUGUGUGUGAACUGACCUACCAUCCACCGUCCACGUCACCAGCGUUGUGUUGGAAGAUAACGGGUGUACAUAAGCCCCACGCAGAAACACACACACACACUUCCACGCAGCACUACGCCAGCCAACAUGAGGAUCGCCGUAGCCACUCUGCUGCUUCUGGUAGCUAUCGGAACCACUGACGCCUUAUGGUUCUUCGGCAACGGAGGAGCCAAAGACACAAAGGCGAACACGCACCAAGAGGACACCAAACACGUGGUGAAGAGGGAAGCCUUAAAGGAGGAGGACGAAGAGGAGGAGGAAGAGGAUGAC